GCCUCGGUGGCACAAUGGUAUAGCGUCGCAUUCGUACGGGGGUCGCUGGGCAAGGUUGGCCGAACAGUAGCGCCCCGUGCGAUGCGAAGAUCCCUCGUUCGAUCCGGGGUCGAGGCG
rnacentral:tRNA from 1 species